AUUGAACGCUGGCGGCGUGCUUAACACAUGCAAGUCGUGCGGUAACAGGCGUAGCAAUACGUGCUGACGAGCGGCGAACGGGUGCGUAAUACAUGGGAAUCUGCCUUUUAGUGGGGAAUAACCCGGCGAAAGCCGGGCUAAUGCCGCAUAAGAUCUUCGGAUGAAAGCGGGGGAUCGUAAGACCUCGCGCUGAUAGAUGAGCCCAUGCCGGAUUAGCUAGNGGUGAGGUAACGGCUCACCAAGGCGACGAUCCGUAGCUGGUCUGAGAGGACGGCCAGCCACACUGGGACUGAGACACGACCCAGACUCCUACGGGAGGCAGCAGUGGGGAAUAUUGGACAAUGGGGGAAACCCUGAUCCAGCGACGCCGCGUGUGUGAAGAAGGCCUGGCGGG
rnacentral:rRNA from 1 species